rnacentral:rRNA from 1 species
UACGGAGGAGGCAAGCGUUAUCCGGAAUUAUUGGGCGUAAAGCGUCCGCAGGUGGCACUUCAAGUCUGUCGUCAAAGACUGGGGCUUAACCCUGGAAAGGCGGUGGAAACUGAAGCGCUAGAGUGCGGUAGGGGUAGAGGGAAUUCCCGGUGUAGCGGUGAAAUGCGUAGAGAUCGGGAAGAACAUCGGUGGCGAAAGCGACGUGCUGGAUCUCUUCUGACGCUGAGGCGCGAAAGCUAGGGGAGCGAACGGG